UACGAACGGUCCAAACGUUAUUCGGAAUCACUGGGCUUAAAGCGUCCGUAGGCGGCUCGGAAAGUAGGGUGUGAAAUCCCACGGCUCAACCGUGGAAUUGCGCUCUAAACUAUCGAGCUAGAGGGAGAUAGAGGUGAGCGGAACUGAUGGUGGAGCGGUGAAAUGCGUUGAUAUCAUCAGGAACACCGGAGGCGAAGGCGGCUCGCUACACGAAUAUUGACUCUGAGGCACGAAAGCGUGGGGAUCAAACAGG
rnacentral:rRNA from 1 species